rnacentral:rRNA from 1 species
GAUAAACGCUGGCGGCGUGCCUAAUACAUGCAAGUCGAGCGAACGGACGAGAAGCUUGCUUCUCUGAUGUUAGCGGCGGACGGGCGAGUAACACGUGGAUAACCUACCUAUAAGACUGGGAUAACUUCGGGAAACCGGAGCUAAUACCGGAUAAUAUUUUGAACCGCAUGGUUCAAAAGUGAAAGACGGUCUUGCUGUCACUUAUAGAUGGAUCCGCGCUGCAUUAGCUAGUUGGUAAGGUAACGGCUUACCAAGGCAACGAUGCAUAGCCGACCUGAGAGGGUGAUCGGCCACACUGGAACUGAGACACGGUCCAGACCCCUACGGGAGGCAGCAGUAGGGAAUCUUCCGCAAUGGGCGAAAGCCUGACGGAGCAACGCCGCGUGAGUGAUGAAGGUCUUCGGAUCGUAAAACUCUGUUAUUAGGGAAGAACAUAUGUGUAAGUAACUGUGCACAUCUUGACGGUACCUAAUCAGAAAGCCACGGCUAACUACGUGCCAGCAGCCGCGGUAAUACGUAGGUGGCAAGCGUUAUCCGGAAUUAUUGGGCGUAAAGCGCGCGUAGGCGGUUUUUUAAGUCUGAUGUGAAAGCCCACGGCUCAACCGUGGAGGGUCAUUGGAAACUGGAAAACUUGAGUGCAGAAGAGGAAAGUGGAAUUCCAUGUGUAGCGGUGAAAUGCGCAGAGAUAUGGAGGAACACCAGUGGCGAAGGCGACUUUCUGGUCUGUAACUGACGCUGAUGUGCGAAAGCGUGGGGAUCAAACAGGAUUAGAUACCCUGGUAGUCCACGCCGUAAACGAUGAGUGCUAAGUGUUAGGGGGUUUCCGCCCCUUAGUGCUGCAGCUAACGCAUUAAGCACUCCGCCUGGGGAGUACGACCGCAAGGUUGAAACUCAAAGGAAUUGACGGGGACCCGCACAAGCGGUGGAGCAUGUGGUUUAAUUCGAAGCAACGCGAAGAACCUUACCAAAUCUUGACAUCCUUUGACAACUCUAGAGAUAGAGCCUUCCCCUUCGGGGGACAAAGUGACAGGUGGUGCAUGGUUGUCGUCAGCUCGUGUCGUGAGAUGUUGGGUUAAGUCCCGCAACGAGCGCAACCCUUAAGCUUAGUUGCCAUCAUUAAGUUGGGCACUCUAAGUUGACUGCCGGUGACAAACCGGAGGAAGGUGGGGAUGACGUCAAAUCAUCAUGCCCCUUAUGAUUUGGGCUACACACGUGCUACAAUGGACAAUACAAAGGGCAGCGAAACCGCGAGGUCAAGCAAAUCCCAUAAAGUUGUUCUCAGUUCGGAUUGUAGUCUGCAACUCGACUACAUGAAGCUGGAAUCGCUAGUAAUCGUAGAUCAGCAUGCUACGGUGAAUACGUUCCCGGGUCU